rnacentral:rRNA from 1 species
UCCUACGGGAGGCAGCAGUGGGGAAUUUUCCGCAAUGGGCGAAAGCCUGACGGAGCAAGACCGCGUGAGGGAGGAAGGCUCUUGGGUUGUAAACCUCUUUUAUCAGGGAAGAACACAAUGACGGUACCUGAAGAAUCAGCAUCGGCUAACUCCGUGCCAGCAGCCGCGGUAAUACGGAGGAUGCAAGCGUUAUCCGGAAUUAUUGGGCGUAAAGCGUCCGCAGGUGGCUAAUCAAGUCUGCUGUCAAAGGCUGGGGCUUAACCCCGGAAAGGCAGUGGAAACUGAGAAGCUAGAGUGCAGUAGGGGUAGAGGGAAUUCCCGGUGUAGCGGUGAAAUGCGUAGAGAUCGGGAAGAACAUCGGUGGCGAAAGCGCUCUACUGGACUGCAACUGACACUCAGGGACGAAAGCUAGGGGAGCGAAUGGGAUUAGAUACCCCAGUAGUCCUAGCCGUAAACGAUGGAUACUAGGUGUGGCUUGUAUCGACCCGAGCCGUGCCGUAGCUAACGCGUUAAGUAUCCCGCCUGGGGAGUACGC